rnacentral:rRNA from 1 species
UACGGAGGCAGCAGUGGGGAAUAUUGCACAAUGGGCGAAAGCCUGAUGCAGCUAUGCCGCGUGUAUGAAGAAGGCCUUAGGGUUGUAAAGUACUUUCAUCGGGGAGGAAAAAACAAAACUAAUAAUUUUAUUUCUUGACGUUACCCGAAAAAGAAGCACCGGCUAACUCCGUGCCAGCAGCCGCGGUAAUACGGAGGGUGCUAGCGUUAAUCAGAAUUACUGGGCGUAAAGAGCACGUAGGUGGUUUUUUUAAGUCAGAUGUGAAAUCCCUGGGCUUAACCUGGAACUGCAUUUUGAAACUGAAAUACUAGAGUAUCGUAGAGGGAGGUAGAAUUCUAGGUGUAGCGGUGAAAUGCGUAGAUAUCUGGAGGAAUACCUGUGGCGAAAGCGGCCUCCUAAACGAAUACUGACACUGAGGUGCGAAAGCGUGGGGAGCAAACAGGGAUUAGAUACC